UGAUAAGCAGCAUGAUGAGAGUGAUCCAAGUCCCUGUUGGAGUCAGUCAGAGCAUUUCCAUAGAGAGCCACUUUGCAUCAGCAGCACCAUGCUCCAGUGCUCUGGGAGAGUUUAUAGUCCUGAGAGUUGAACACUGGAUGACUGACAGCUGUCCUUCAUGACAACAGAAGACACAGAAAUCCUCCUCAUCAAAAACAUGACUUUGACCUGCGUCCUCAUCUGGACUCUCCUCUGCUGCUGCUUCACAGAGUCCAGAGGUCAGAUCACAGUGACUCAGCCUGGAGCAGUGAGCUCUGCUCUGGGAGGCUCCGUCAUCAUCAGCUGUAGGACCAGUCAGGAUGUUUAUUAUAAUGCCUUUGAGCCAUCCCGCGGUAUGCACUGGUACCAACAGAAAGCUGGAGAAACUCCUAAACUUCUCAUUUACUACACUACCUAUCGAGCAUCAGGGAUUCCAGAUCGUUUUACAGGCAGUGGAUCAUACUCUGCCUUCACUCUGACCAUCAGUGGAGUUCAGGCUCAAGAUGCAGCAGUUUACUACUGUCAGAGUGAACAUAGCAUCAACAGUCAGAGUGUGUUCACACAGUGAAAAACCGUCGUACAAAAACCUCCCUCAGUCAGACUGAACAGAAACUGAGCUGACUGCUGUAGCUGGAAGCUACUGCAGAGACUGAUACACUUCACUGAGGACACACACACACACACACACACACACACACACACACACACA